UGCGUAGGCGGAAUAUUAAGUCAGUGGUGAAAUCCUUCGGCUCAACCGUAGAACUGCCAUUGAUACUGAUAUUCUUGAAUGUAGUUGAGGUAGGCGGAAUGUGUAAUGUAGCGGUGAAAUGCUUAGAUAUUACACAGAACACCGAUUGCGAAGGCAGCUUACUAAACUAUGAUUGACGCUGAGGCACGAAAGCGUGGGGAGCGAACAGGAUUAGAUACCCUGGUAGUCC
rnacentral:rRNA from 1 species